rnacentral:misc_RNA from 1 species
GAUGAAGAACGUAGCGAAAUGCGAUAAGUAAUGCGAAUUGCAGAAUUCAGUGAAUCAUCGAAUCUUUGAACGCACAUUGCGCCCGCCAGUAUUCUGGCGGGCAUGCCUGUCUGAGCGUCGUUUCGACCCUCGCGCCCGGCUUCUGUCGGGGGCGGUGUUGGGGAUCGGCCACACCCUUCAGUGGGAGGCCGGCCCCUAAAUUCAGUGGCGACCACGCUGUAGCCUCCCCUGCGUAGUACUAAAACCACCUCGCAGGCGGAGAGCGGUGCGGCCCGCCGUAAAACCCCCCAACUUUUACAAGGUCGACCUCAGAUCAGGUAGGAAUACCCGCUGAACUUAAGCAUAUCAAUACGCGGAGGA